GUGUGUGGGAACAUCCAGUGGCACCCUGCACUAGCUGCGUGCCUAGAGCAGUCUCUUGGUGACCUCGCUGCCUAGGCCCAGACUGACCCAGAGUAAUACACAGUGUAAAGUGUAACCAUUCCCAAUUCUUGAGACUAAAGCCUUAUGAAGGAAUACAGGACACAAACCAUCAAGUAAAAGGAAAAUGACUUCAUCUUUGGGGAAGAAUGGCUGUGAUUCAUUAUGCAGCUGGAACAAUGACAACAUGGAUCUUUGGGAAACACCGGCUUCCCCUGCCGGGCGCAGGAAAUGGAAUAUCAGCUUCCCAGCACACCCAUGCCCUUUGCUUUUGACAAGGAAGGCCAGACUGACCAAGGUGCUACCUCUGGAAAGAUACACAAAAACAUCAUUGCAAUUGUCUCUGGAAAGAAUUGGUGGGAGACUGGUUUUACUUCUCACUUGGUACGUUUUGAAUUUUAUACAAUGUACAUGUAAUGUAAAAGGUAUAUAAAUAAUGGUAAAAGAGAAGGCUCUUUGGA